rnacentral:rRNA from 1 species
UGCAAGUCGAACGAAGUAGCAAUACUUAGUGGCAGACGGGUGAGUAACAUGUAGGUAUCUACCCUAUGGCCUGGAAUAACACGAGGAAACUUGUGCUAAUACCGGAUAAGUCUUUACAGAGAAAGCUUUAUGCACCAUUGGAUGAGCCUGCACUUGAUUAGUUUGUUGGUGGGGUAACGGCCUACCAAGACUGUGAUCAAUAGCUGAUUUGAGAGGAUGAUCAGCCACAUUGGGACUGAGACACGGCCCAAACUCCUACGGGAGGCAGCAGUGGGGAAUCUUGCACAAUGGAGGAAACUCUGAUGCAGCGAUGCCGCGUGAGUGAAGAAGGCCCUCGGGUUGUAAAGCUCUUUCGUCGGGGAAGAAAAUGACUGUACCCGAAUAAGAAGGUCCGGCUAACUUCGUGCCAGCGGCCGCGGUAAUACGAAGGGACCUAGCGUAGUUCGGAAUUACUGGGCUUAAAGAGUUCGUAGGUGGUUGAAAAAGUUGGUGGUGAAAUCCCAGAGCUUAACUCUGGAACUGCCAUCAAAACUUUUCAGCUAGAGUAUGAUAGAGGAAAGCAGAAUUUCUAGUGUAGAGGUGAGAUUCGUAGAUAUUAGAAAGAAUACCAAUUGCGAAGGCAGCUUUCUGGAUCAUUACUGACACUGAGGAACGAAAGCAUGGGUAGCGAAGAGGAUUAGAUACCCUCGUAGUCCAUGCCGUAAACGAUGUGUGUUAGACGUUGGAAAUUUAUUUUCAGUGUCGCAGCGAAAGCGAUAAACACACCGCCUGGGGAGUACGACCGCAAGGUUAAAACUCAAAUGAAUUGACGGGGACCCGCACAAGUAGUGAAGCAUGUGGUUUA